rnacentral:rRNA from 1 species
AGUGAACGCUGGCGGUAGGCCUAACACAUGCAAGUCGAACGGCAGCACAGUAAGAUCUUGCUCUUACGGGUAGCGAGUGGCGGACGGGUGAGGAAUACAUCGGAAUCUACUUUUUCGUGGGGGAUAACGUAGGGAAACUUACGCUAAUACCUCAUACGAUCUACGGGUGAAAGCAGGGGAUCUUCGGACCUUGCGCGAUUGAAUGAGCCGAUGUCGCAUUAGCUAGUUGGCGGGGUAAAGGCCCACCAAGGCGACGAUCCGUAGCUGGUCUGAGAGGAUGAUCAGCCACACGGGAACUGAGACACGGUCAAGACUCCUACGGGAGGCAGCAGUGGGGAAUAUUGGACAAUGGGCGCAAGCCUGAUCCAGCCAUACCGCGUGGGUGAAGAAGGCCUUCGGGUUGUAAAGCCCUUUUGUUGGGAAAGAAAAGCAGCAGGUUAAUACCCCGCUGUUCUGACGGUACCCAAAGAAUAAGCACCGGCUAACUUCGUG